AGCUGGUUCACUUCCUAUAGGGAUUGAAAACCAAGUGAGGAGAUGACUCUCUCUCCAUGAGUGGUUUUCUCCACGACCAGGAUACUUUUAUGAAGCGAAAAAGGACAACACACAAGAAAGUCGCGAUCACUCCUACCAUGGGAUUAUGUCUUCACCAAUCAUUCUUCCAAUGGUUCUUUCCCUUGUUAUUGGUGCUGUGCUGAUUUGGAUCUAGUCCUGCCUUCAAUCCAAUGGUAUGGAACAAUAUCAUUGUGAAAUUAACUGCACUCACUCACUUCCUCUUAGUUCAGGGUUUCUGUGAUCAUGAUUCUUCACUCAAAGUAUGAUGGCUUUCAAAGUAUUUCCUGAUGUUUGUGAGACCGAUGUCCCCUCAACAUGUAGUGCCUUCCGUGCCCAAUAAUUGGCAAUGGAAAUGGAGAACUAUUGGGAGGAGGGAGAGAUGCAUAUGGCACAGAUCAA